CCGUACCCGUAGGCCCGUCGUCGGCUUUAUAAACGGACUCAGGUAACUGGACGAAUACAGGUAAUUUAAUGAAUGCAGUGGGAUGACAAAGCAGGUAACAGGUAAAUUUUCCUUGCGGCAUUAUAUUGUGUCGGACUGUAUUGCAAGCCUAUGAAUGAUAUAUGCAAAAGUAGCUAGUCCAGUCACUUAGUCCGGCGACGGUGAUUGUUGUUAGUCUUAAGUUUAACACAUUUCGGAUGGCGCUGUUCAACACAUCGAUACCCACGAUGUACACACAGAGUAACAAAGUAUUGAACAAGGAGGGCAAAAAGGGGGAUCCAAGUGGGUCAUUCCACUGUGAGUGAUUCAACGUUCAAGCUCUUCCGGAAAGACCACAGGGUCCUAUUCGAAAUGUGCAAGGUCAAGGUCAAGUUUUUCAGAUUUAUUGAUAU